rnacentral:rRNA from 1 species
CGGUAAACAAAGGGAAGCGAGCAUGUGAAUGUGAGCAAAUCCCAAAAAUAACGUCUCAGUUCGGAUUGUAGUCUGCAACUCGACUACAUGAAGCUGGAAUCGCUAGUAAUCGCGAAUCAGAAUGUCGCGGUGAAUACGUUCCCGGGUCUUGUACACACCGCCCGUCACACCAUGGGAGUCAGUAACGCCCGAAGCCGGUGACCCAACCAAACGGAGGGAGCCGUCGAAGGUGGGACCGAUAACUGGGGUGAAGUCGUAACAAGGUACC